AUACGGAGGGUGCAAGCGUUAAUCGGAAUUACUGGGCGUAAAGCGCUCGUAGGCGGCUUGUUAAGUCGGAUGUGAAAGCCCCGGGCUCAACCUGGGAAUUGCAUUCGAUACUGUCAGGCUAGAGUAUGGUAGAGGGAAGCGGAAUUCCAGGUGUAGCGGUGAAAUGCGUAGAUAUCUGGAGGAACAUCAGUGGCGAAGGCGGCUUCCUGGAUCAAUACUGACGCUGAGGUGCGAAAGCGUGGGGAGCAAACAGGAUUAGAUACCCCGGUAGUCC
rnacentral:rRNA from 1 species